AUAAAUUAUUUUUUAAAAUUUUCGGCCGAAACAAAAAGACUAAAAAUUAGCAGAUACUCCCAACACGUCUGAAUCUCCGUGAAUUCUGAUUCACCAACACAACGGAUUCACUUCUGCAAAGCUAAGCAAAGCGAAGCUUGCCCAUCGGAGAAGCAACCAAAGGCAUCAGCUUUCGGGGUUCUCCUCGUCCCCUCCUCCCUCCCGCCGUCCCCUCCCACCCCGCGCGCUAUGUUUCCGCGCGACAUCGCCAGGGCCGCGCGCCACUUCGCUGCCAUGGCACGAAUCGUCGGCCCGGUGAGUCCCCGAGUCCACACCUCCCCCUCUUCCUCCUCCUCUGCUAUCAGCAGCAGCUCCAUCGGAUUUUCUCGCUGGCCACCCCUCUGCUCUCCGCGUCCAGGACCCCAAGGCCGUGAAGAUGCGCCGCCACGCCUUCCACCUCCAGCAGUCGGGGUCCACCUCACUCUCGGCGUCGGCCGUCCUCCUGCCGCGGGACUCCCUGGCUGACCCGCCGCCGCUUCUCGACCGUAUCUGCGCAGCUCACGGGCACGUGGCGGGGGACGUCGCGCUCACGGCCGCGUCGCUUGUCGAGUCGUUCCUGGUAGCGGAGCAGCGCGAUAGACCCGACCAGGAAUUGCACCCGAGGUUGGUACCGGAGGCGCGUCUUGAUGUGCUCGUUGAGGUCUAUGCUCCUCCUUUUCCUCUGGGGUUGUGUCAAAGGUUGUCAAAAUCCCGUCAACUCAUCAUUCUCAUCUGGCUGGCACUGUGGAAGCUGAAGCUGACAAUGUGGACAUGCCAGUAAUGCUGCAGACAACAGCGGGAGUUCAUCCAGGGGCUAGUGGUGGUGCCCUUGUUAAUUCAUUCGGAUGAAUGGUUGGGCUGGUAACAAGUUAUAAAAUAUAAAUUUAUUUUGAGGCCUCACUUCAGAAAUUAAGUGCACCUUUGUAUGAUUUUCAUCAAGUUAUUCUGUCAUUUCAUCGACAGUAUCGGCUUUCCAUUUUUUAUGUUGGAUAUGUGCUAUUUGUGAAAUCUCUUUACAGUCAUCUUGUUUUCUUGCACUUGUGAGCAGACGCUUACAUUUAUGUCAUUCAUUCUAGUGACUAGAGGAACAGCGUGGUAUUCAUUUUCCAAAAAGCUCAAUCUUAUUUUUUUCAGCCACUUAUUUCUUUGGCUUCCAUAUCCAGCAAUGCUAAGCAUGGUGGUUGAAGCACAAUACCUCAUAUGAAUUUCAGCAUCCCCAGCAAAUCGUUGGAAACAAUCUUCAACAAUUGGAGAUUCCACAAGUUUGGAGCAAUUGGACAAACACGAUGAAGUGCUCUCGUCAGUUUGGGCUCUGGACCCAUCAUCAUGCCCAUUCAUCAGCAGCUUUCCUGAGAAGAGCAAAGAGGAAAAAAAUUUGGAGUUCUCAAAGUUUCUUAAUGAUAAGCAAGAAGUUUUGAAAUCUAGAGGAGAUCUGGAGGAACUCUUUAGGCACAAGAUACCCAGCAAAAUAUAGAUUGGAUCCACUGAAUAAGUUGCAGGGAGAAAAUUUCAAAGCUUUGGUCAUGGAGAAGUGCAGAAGUUGCUUUGUUGGGGGAAAGCACUGAAUAAGGGAUUCAGAUUACUUAACGAAAUGCCAGACUAUCAGCUGCCGCUCUAUUUUUUGGGGGGAAUUUCCCAGCAGAAAGGUGUUAUCAGAGCACAUUCAGCUUAUUUCUAGAAGGUUAAGACAUGCCUCGGGGGAUGUAGACAAAAUUGGAAUUUGCAUAGAAACACAGCUUUUAUUUUUUUUACUAAUUGAAAAGGGCAAUUUCAGCCAUUUCUUGUACUGACUGAAAUGGAUGGUUUCUGCCGUUUCUUGUAAUUCUACGUUAAAGUGUACUAAAAGUAUUCAUCUCGGCUGCUAAAGCCAAUGAAAAUCAAGCUAGGAGCCUAGGAUGUUGAUCUCCUACUACACUUCGCCACAUUUACACCCACAUGGAUCCUAUAGGCAUUUGAUUCAUCACUUCACGUAGAUCAUGCGUACCCUGGUGCAGCAUCUAUGUGCUCGCAGUAUGAACAGCUAUAGGUCUUCAUUUCUCAAGCCCAGAAAAUUAUGUAUAUAGUCAGUAAAAUAGGCCUUCUCAAGCAUCGUGGUGACAAUCAAAGGUCCAAAAUUAGCAAUAGCUGGGCGUCACAAGGCAAGAAAUGGCAUAAUUAAGCAUG